rnacentral:rRNA from 1 species
UACAGAGGGGGCAAGCGUUAUUCGGAAUUAUUGGGCGUAAAGGGCGCGUAGGCGGCCUGGCAAGUGGAAGGUGAAAUCCCUCGCUUAACCGAGGAACUGCCUCCCAAACUGCUUGGCUUGAGACCGGGAGAGGUGAGUGGAAUUCCUGGUGUAGCGGUGGAAUGCGCAGAUAUCAGGAGGAACACCGAUGGCGAAGGCAGUUCUCUGGGCCGUAACUGACGCUGAGGAGCGAAAGCGUGGGGAGCGAACAGG